UACGAAGGGGGCUAGCGUUGUUCGGAAUUACUGGGCGUAAAGCGCACGUAGGCGGAUUUGCCAGUCGGGGGUGAAAUCCCGGGGCUCAACCUCGGAACUGCCUCUGAUACAGCAAGUCUUGAGUCCGGAAGAGGUGGGUGGAAUUCCUAGUGUAGAGGUGAAAUUCGUAGAUAUUCGCAAGAACACCAGUGGCGAAGGCGGCUCACUGGCCCGGUACUGACGCUGAGGUGCGAAAGCGUGGGGAGCAAACAGG
rnacentral:rRNA from 1 species